rnacentral:misc_RNA from 1 species
GCAUUGCGCAGGGUUAUAGUAGCACCUUCUUUCAUCAAAUCCACUUGAUCAUUUCUGGCAGUAAAUAUGAUCAUUCCAGUCUCAUCACCCACUAGGCAUUCAGCAAUUCGCAUCUGACGAGCUUGAGGGCCAUCAGGACGACCCUUCUGCAAUACCAUCUUCGUAUUCACAACCUUGACUGUAAGAGUAUGGCCACUAGUGCCCGGCCGAAGUUGG